rnacentral:rRNA from 1 species
CCUACGGGUGACAGCAGUGGGGAAUAUUGGGCAAUGGGCGCAAGCCUGACCCCGCAACGCCGCGUGAAUGAAGAAGGCUUUCGGGUUGUAAACUUCUUUUCGCAGGGACGAAGCAAGUCACGGUACCAGAAGAAUAAGCCACGGCUAAAUACGUGCCAGCAGCCGCGGAAAUACGUAGGUGGCAAGCGUUAUCCGGAUUUACUGGGUGUAAAGGGCGCGUAGGCGGGAAAGCAAGUCAGAUGUGAAAGCCAUGGGCUCAACCUGUGGACUGCAUUUGAAACUGUGUUUCUUGAGUACUGGAGAGGCAGACGGAAUUCCUAGUGUAGCGGUGAAAUGCGUAGAUAUUAGGAGGAACACCAGUGGCGAAGGCGGUCUGCUGGACAGCAACUGACGCGGAGGCGCGAAAGCGUGGGGAGCAAACAGGAUUAGAUACCCGAGUAGUC